rnacentral:tRNA from 1 species
GGUGCUGCGCCGGACGAACGGACAACUUUGAUGACGUUGAACAUGAGGCUACCCUCCAACACCU